UUUUGCUAACUUUGCUCCAGGCUCUUUGGCCUCUCUGCUCUUCCUUGACCAAGCUAGAUACACUCUAACCUUAGUGCAUUUUUACUUAUUUUUCUUCUUCAUGGAAUAAUUUUUUCCCCCAGACAUGCAAUGUUUAACUCCUUCAUGACUUUAAGAUUUUCCUCAAUGCUAACUUCACCUAGAGUAAUGUCUUGAAAACCUCACUUGGAAUUUCAAGCCUUACUCUUACCACUCUCAGUGUACCUGACCCUGGCCUAAUGUUAUAACUCUUAUAGCCUUAUAACAAUAUUAUGUACUUAUUUUUUAUGCAUAUAAUUCAUUUUCUUUCUCUUUUCUAUGCCAUGUAAGCUCUGUGAGGGCAAAUUUUAUCUAUUUUUGCCAGUAAGGGGCAUUCAGGGUAAUUUGGGGAUCAGAGGCUUUUGCUCACUGCCACUGCAUGUUUCAGUGACCUACAGGUCCAAUGUGAUGUAGACAGAGGAGGUUCUUGUGCCUGGAAAUUUUCUCUUUUAGUGCUGUCACCCUCAUCAUCAAGUGUUUGUUUGUUUGUUUUUGGUCUUUUUGUCUUUUUAGGGACACACCUGUGGCAUAUGGAAGUUCCCAGGCCAGGGGUCUAAUCAGAGCUGUAGCUGCCAGCCUAUUCCACAGCAAUGCAAGAUCAGAGCUACAUCUGCAACCUAUAUCACAGCUCAUGGCAAUGCCAGAUCCUUAACCCACUAAGCAAGGCCAGGGAUUGAACUUGCAUCCAAGCUGUGUCUGUGACCUACACCACAGCUCACAGCAAAGCUGGAUUCUUAGCCACUGAGGGAGGCCAGGGAUUGAACCCACAUCCUCCUGGAUACUAGUCAGGUUCGUUUCCACUGAGCCACAAUGGGAACUCAUUAUUGACUUUUGUCACCAUUAAGUGCCCUUUCCCCCGUCAUCAUUACUAAUUGCCUUCCACUCCUACAUUUUUUAUGAAGAAUAUCCUUCAAUACUUUUGUCGAUGCUAACUAUGGUUAUUAUGAACUGUAGGAUUUUAUUUUCCCUCAUUCUGGAAUGAUGUUUGGGCACUGUAUUCAAUUCUCCACUGAGUCUCCAAGCCUCUGUCCCAGUCCCGUGUGGACGUGAAGCCCAAGGACUAAGUGGAUCCAAUAAUCCCCAGCAUAGCUGCAGAAAUGCUAGCUCAUGAGUCAAAGCUACAGUUUUCAGCAAUUUAUUGUCUUCUGAAAUAUGGGAAUUUCCUUUUCUUUUGUAACCCCAGGCAUACUUUUUAACAAACAUUUUUGUUACAUUUUAUCUGGCAUUAUAUAUUUUUGUGAGUACUACAGCAUAACCCAUUCUUUCAUAUCACAGGCACUGAAAAGUCUUAGUACUAUGACUUCAUGGGACUAGAUUAUGCCUGUAUAGUUAGAACAAGGUCACUUUGAUUAUACUUGAAUAUAAAAAGAUAUUCAAUGAUAUGCCACAUUAAAAUUUUGAUAAAUUCUUUAAGAAUAUUUUGCUCCAAAGAUAUUAAAUUAGGAUUUAGUAGGACUUUAAAGUGCUUCUAAUUGCACCUCCAACCUGCCAAAAAAUCCCCCAUUCACCUUUGACUUUAACAAGAACACCCAUGAUAAAGUUAAUUCACAUAUCGAGGCCCACACAGUGAAGGCCACCAUGAGGCCCAGCCCACAUUACAAAUCUAAACUCAGGUCAACCUAUGCUUAUAGAAAACUUCACUGUCAAGGACAUCUAAUACUUGUCACAACCCUCCAACUCAGCAUCAGCUAGCUUCCCUCACCUGAGAAAAUAGGACCUUCUAGCCUUAGCAGGAAAUCCCCACCUCCUAGCCAAUCAUGCCCUGUUUCCACAUUGCCUUUUGUAAGGCUCUAGGAAACUCACUCUCACCCAAAAUCCCCAGGAGGAAAGUUCCAUCCCCCGCUUGUGAGGCAUGGUACUCCUCCCCCAACCCCUUCCCAAUCCAUGGAUUACUUUUCCCUUAAUAAAGGACUUCAAAUUCAUUAUUAAGUUGUUAUUCUUGUCAGUUAACACAUUCCCUUUGCUUUAAGAACUUAGGGGAAAAGAUCACACAUCAACAUUUUUGAUAUUAUCAGAUAUCAAUGUUUGCUGAAUUGGCUCAAAGACAUUAUUUUAUAUAUAACUUAGUUUGCAUUUCCUUGACAAUAUAUCUUCAUGAGAUGAGCCCUGCUUUGAUAAAUUGACUGUUCAUGAGUUUUACCAGUUACUUUUAUAUUUUUCAUCAAUAUGUAUUAUUUAUUUAUCUAUCUAUUUAUUUAUUUAUUGCUUUUUUUUUCAGGGCCAUACCCACAGCAUAUGGAGGUUCCCAGACUAGAGGUCAAAUUGGAGCUGUAGCCACUGGCCUACACCACAGCCACAGCCAUGCCAGAACUGAGCCAUGUCUGCAACCUACACCACAAGCUCACAGCAAUGCUGGAUCUUUAACCCACUGAGUGAUGCCAGGGAUCAAACCUGCAACCUCAUGGUUCCCAGGUGGAUUAGUUUCUGCUGCACCAUGAUGUGACCUCCCUGUGUCAUGAUAGGAACUCUGAAUUUCUUCAUUCUUCAUUCUUUGUACUCUGUAUCUCACCAAAUAUAUUCUUUAAUAUUGAACAAGCCCAUCUGAUCCAUAAAAGUAGAAAAUCAAUUGUUCUAUGGUGAGAGUGCAGUGAGUUCUUAACUGCCCUUUUGGCUAUUACUCUUUGUUUUCCACUUAUAGUCAAAUGACCCUAUCUUGCUCCAAGUACAAUUUCUUCCACACAGUCUGCUACCUGUUAUCAAACGGUGAGUGGAAUCACAUCAUCAUUCAACAUUUUUGCCCACUCUCUUUUAGAAUGUUUGCACAAUUGUCUACACACAUUUUUCCAUGUGUCAAAUUCUCUUCAUUGUUCCCCACAUUUAUCGAGACUUAAUUGUCACAUAACAUUGUGUAAGUUUAAGAUGUACACUGUGGUGAUUUGACAUACGUGAGCACUGCAAAAUGAUUACCAUGAUAAGGUUAGUUACUGCACUGAUCACUACACAAGGUUACCUUUUCUUCCCCUGCCAUAGUGAGGACUUGUAAGACAUACUCUCUUGGCAGCUUUCAAGUAGACAAUAUGGUGGUGCUACCUACAGGUGGCCUUUGAAAAAUGAAGUGGAACUUAUAUUUAGCUCUCUGUGUCCAGGAUUCUCUCACAUCCUGAGAUUUGAACACUCAUGGCCAUGCAGCACUGUGGUGUUUGCUACUGAAAAAUAUCCAUGUAUAAGUAAGUGGAUCUGCACAGUUCAAACCUGUGUUGUUCAAGGUCAACUGUGUAGACAUCAUAUCAUACAUUAGAUUCUCAAAAAUUAAUUCACCUUGUGACUGGCGGUUUGUAUCCUUUGCCCAAUAAAUUGUUGUAUUGAUUUACCAAACACAAUGUUCACUUCCUGAAAGUGAUAAAGUAGCUCAAAAUACAUUUUACUGUCAUUUUAGUAAAAUGCUCAUCUGAUUAAAUGAGUUUCUCAACCAAUGCACUUACAUAUAUAUGAUCUAUUAAUAACAUAUAUUGGAGUUCUAUGAAAUAAUUUUACAAGAUUCGUUUGAAAAAGAAAAUAUAGAAAUUAUGAAUUUUAUGAUAUAAACAUUAAUUUUUCAGAAUUAAUAAAGAUGUAAAAUUUCUAAACUUUAAAUACUGGAAUGUAUUCCUUUAAAUAAAGGGUGUUAUUAUACAUGGUGAAGCAAACAAUCUUGGGUCAAACUCUAAUUCUAAAUGAAAAAAUGAUAGUUCAUGCUGAUAGAAAUUAAGUGAUAUUAAUCCCACUAAUCUAAAUUGUUCCUAUCCUUUCAUCCUACAUCUCUUGUUUCAGCAUAAUAAGGAGUGAUCUACAGAAUUUUCUCUGUUAGUUAAGAAGCUUCUCUAAAAUGUUAUCCAUAUUUGGAAGCAUAGUCCUCUCAUUAUUUUCCUUUGUAUAUAUAAGUAAUGGGUUAUGAUCAUUUUUCUCAAGUGAAAAAUAUGUCAUAGACACUGAAGACAAAAUUUAUAAAAUCUCAAACUAUUUAAGUACCAAACUUUUAAAAUACAGUAAAGUUUAUCUCCCCACCACCAAUUUUUAGUGUUUUUACAUUCAGGAAGGAUGUAAAUUUUCCCAGAGGUUACUAAUAACUUGCAGAUUCAUAUCUUCAACUCUGUAUAUAAUUAGAAAGGCUUUAAGGAUUUUACAAAAACCAAAACCAAAAGCCCUCCAAAACCCAAAUGCCUAUUUGCCUUAUCUUCCCCCAACAUCCUCCAGUAGUCUUCAUUUUAUACUUAGCACCUGGCAGGAUACAGCAGUGGCGAUGGAGUAGAGAGGAAAGAAGCCAGAGAAUUAUCAUUUGUCAAAGAGUUACUGUGCAGUAGCUUUGGCCUAGUAGAUCUCCUAUAAUAGAUUUUACAAAAAAAAAAAUCACGUCUAUCUCACAGAUAUACCAAAUGAUAUUUGGAAACACUAAAUGACUUGCAAAAGGGCAAGUAUAUUUGAUGUUAAGAACCAUGUUGUUUCUAGUACAUUAUCCUGGGUUUUUCUUGGCCUUCCUUAGGCUAUGUUCAAAUAUUCCUAUUUACUCUACCACUGGAUUCAUCUAAUGCACAGAUGAAAGUAAUGUGGUGGAGAGUGUCUGUAAUUUAGAGAAGAUCAAGAUACACGCCUGGUAAAAGCAUUGAAAAAAAAUGUAAGCCUAUGAAUUUUCUUCCUUUGACCAAAGAAAUUCCACGUUGUAAGAAGGUAAGCAUUAGCAGCAUUGUGGAGCAAUGACUGAAUAGGAAUUUCAUGACUAGGCAGUGGUGAUGGGUGGUGUUGAUUUUGUGAUAUCAGGUCCAAAGGGUGAAUACAUCAGGAUGUUUUGUGGUUACACUAUGGAUCUUAUGAGAAAAUCCUUUGAAUGUGUGCGAGCAAAAGGCUGUGAUAUGCUUUACUUCAUACUGUCACUCAGUGUUGACUGUGUUCUGUAUAGUGAGUUAAGAAACAGAGAAGUCAUAGAGAUCAAUGGGACCUAAGUGCCUCACACAUCUGGCCACAUUACCUACUUAGAUGAUCCUGGAACAUUUAUUCCAGAUACCAUUUCUAAAAGAGCUGCUUUUGUUUUGGAUUCAUUAUGUAUUAUGGUGCUUGGCAGAUAAUAUAUUAAUCCCACAAUCAGUUGAUAUUGUAUUUUCCCACUGAAACAACUAUUGCACUAUUUUCAGAGAAAAACAAACUUUCUUCAUUCACAUCUGCUAUCAAUUACUUUUAUUCUAGAGUGCAGAUAAACUUUUAAUUAUCUCAAAUAUCCUAACUGAAAAUAAGUCCUAGGAAUUCUCUAAAUAACUGGUUAUAAAUGGUACCUGUUAUACAGAGCAGAGAAACAGUCUCAUUAGUUGCUAUAAUUAUGUUCAGAAUUUUGAACCAGUGUAAUUACCACAAAAAGUAUAACCUUUGAACUUAAAUAAUUAAAGCACAGCUUUUACUGCUUAAUUAUGGCAUAAAACAAAUGUUUCUGGGUUCAUAAGUAAGUAGAUAUCUGAAAAAUUAUAGUUAUUUCAAACUUAUUCAAUAACAGCCUAUGAAAACAUUUCAGUAAAAAAUCCUGGAAUUCAUUCUUUUAAAAGUUUGCAUUUUCUGGGAGUUCCCAUCGUGGCACAGUGGUUAACAAAUCUGACCAGGAACUAUGAGGUUGUGGGCUCCAUCCCUGGCCUUGCUUAGUGGGUUAAGGAUCCGGCAUUGCCGUGAGCUGUGGUGUAGGUUGCAUUUGCGGCUCAGAUCCUGCAUUGCUGUGGCUCUGGCAUAGGCCAGUGGCUACAGCUCUGACUGGACCCCUAGCUUGGGAACCUCCAUAUGCUGCAGAAGCGGCCCAAGAAAAUGUCAAAAAGACAAAAUAAAGUCUGCAUUUCUGAAGAUGUUAUGAUUGUAAUAAUAUUCUUAAUCUCAGUAUUAAAAUAACCAAAACCUGUAAUUAGUCUUUGAAUUUGGAAAUAAUCUUAAAAUUCUGCUACUUUGUUAAAUACUUUAGAGAAAAAAAAAAAAAGGAUGAUGUUAAGUGCCUUUUAAAAGGGAUCCAGUUCUGGAGUUCCUAUGAGGGCUCAGUGGAAAUGAACCUGACUAGUAUCCAUGAGAACAUGGAUUAGAUCCCUUCUCACUCUGUUGGGUAAGGAUGCAGCAUUGCUGUGAGCUGCUGUGUAAGUUGCAGAUGGGGCUCGGAUCCCAUGAUGCUGUGGCUAUGGUGUAAGCCAGCAGCUGUAGCUCCAAUUCGACCCUUAGCCUGGCAAUUACCAUAUGCUGUGAGUGCAGCCCCCCCCAAAAGACAUAAAAAGGGACCCAAUUCAUUAUUUAAAUAAUUAUCAUUUCAUUAUUUAAAAAAAUUUUUGAUCAGAGAAGUUUAGCACGGCAUAAAUCUGACACUUUUAUUUCACUUUAACAUUAAAGUGAUACCAUGAAGGAAACAUUGUUAAUACACUUUCACAGGUGAGGAAAUUGACCCUUAGAAAGGUCAAUUUCCAAGGUCACACAGAUGGAUUUAAUGGCUAAUCUAGAAAUCAUAUAUGGGCAACCUGAUGUCAAUAUGCAAGCUCUUAAUCAGGCAGUUUUUUCAGUCUCUUGAAAACAGUGCAUUAACUUACAAUAAUAAUAAUAAUAAAAAUAUGCAUUUGUUAAGAACAAAAGGCAUUGUGUUAUAGAAAGAACAUUAGACCUAGAAAGAAAAAGAUAGGUUAGAAAUCUGGUUCAAAUAUAUAAAAAUAUAUUUAAAAAAAAAGAAUUCUGGUUCAGCCAUUUACUGGGUCUGGAAAACAGGUUAAACCACAUUAAAUUCUGGAUUAAUCAUUCCACAUGUUUGUAUACAAAUUGUUUUGUUCUUAUACAAAACAAUUUGUAUACAAGACUGAGGAUAAAAAUAACAUUGUACUUCCUGGUCAUGCUAUGGGAACUUCAGUAAUUAUAAUUAACAAAACCAGAUAUGGUUUCAAUUAACCAGGCUCAUAUAUCUCUAGACUACAUAGAUGAGCAACAAAUUUCUUAGCAAAGUUACAUGUUCCAUCUUCAGCUCAUCUGAAUAGAAUAUUUUAAUUUUUUGGCCACAUUUGAGGCAUGUGGAAGUUCACAGGCCAGAGAUCGAUCCCACACCACAGCAGUGACCCAAGUGGCUCCAGUAACAACGCUAGACCCUUAACCAUCUGUGGCACUGGAGAACUCCUAGAAUACUUUAAUUUUCAUAUCAUCCCUUAGCAUUAUUACAAAACAACCAAAUACACUGUAUUUUCAAAACCCACUGGAUAUCCAAAGCCCUCAUAGUUUUCUGCUUGUCAAAAAUCUUUGCCCCAUUUCUACUAUUUUUUUGUCAAAACCCAUUCUCUUUCUGUCUUCUUCUCUGUCAUUAACUUCACCUGCAGUUUUUGAUAAGCCUCAAAUACUGGAUAUGCCUUUAAAUAUCUGAGGAAGUACAUCUCUUCUCAAGCUCUUUCUGAAAUAGCUCUAAAUAAAGCUAUUUAUGUCUACCAUUGAACUAUAGGACUUCAAUCCUGAUUUAUUAUUUGACCUCUAGAUUUUUAUCUCCAACUACUGACCCUACAUACUCACUUAGGUGUUUGUAUAUCCAUGUCAAAUGUUGCACUGAAAAAGAGACAUGCACCCCUAUGUUCGCUGCAGCACUACUCAAAACAGCCAAGACAUGGAAACAAUCUAAAUGUCCAACAAGGACAGAUGAAUGCAUUAACAAGACAUGGUACAUAUAAACAAUGGAAUACUACUCAGCCAUAAAAAAUAAUGUCAUUUUCAGCAACAUGUAUGGAGCUGGAGACUUUC
rnacentral:lncRNA from 1 species